UGCAGUCGAGCGAUGAAACACCUUCGGGUGUGAAUUAGCGGCGAACCUGUGAGGAACACGUGAGAAAUCUGCCUUCAACACUGGGAUAACUCCGGGAAACCGGGGCUAAUACCGGAUAUGAAAUCUGCGGGCAUCCGCGGAUUUGGAAAGUUUUUCGGUUGAAGAUGAUCUCGCGGCCUAUCAGCUUGUUGGUGAGGUAAUGGCUCACCAAGGCGACGACGGGUAGCCGGCCUGAGAGGGCGACCGGCCACACUGGGACUGAGACACGGCCCAGACUCCUACGGGAGGCAGCAGUGGGGAAUAUUGGGCAAUGGAGGAAACUCUGACCCAGCGACGCCGCGUGCGGGAUGAAGGCCUUCGGGUUGUAAACCGCUUUCAGCAGGGAAGAAGCGAAAGUGACGGUACCUGCAGAAGAAGCACCGGCUAACUAUGUGCCAGCAGCCGCGGUAAUACAUAGGGUGCAAGCGUUGUCCGGAAUUAUUGGGCGUAAAGAGCUCGUAGGUGGUUCGUCACGUCGGAUGUGAAACUCUGGGGCUUAACCCCAGACCUGCAUUCGAUACGGGCGAGCUUGAGUAUGGUAGGGGAGUCUGGAAUUCCUGGUGUAGCGGUGGAAUGCGCAGAUAUCAGGAGGAACACCAAUGGCGAAGGCAGGACUCUGGGCCAUUACUGACACUGAGGAGCGAAAGCGUGGGGAGCGAACAGGAUUAGAUACCCUGGUAGUCCACGCCGUAAACGGUGGGCACUAGUUGUGGGGACCUUCCACGGUCUCUGCGACGCAGCUAACGCAUUAAGUGCCCCGCCUGGGGAGUACGAUCGCAAGAUUAAAACUCAAAGGAAUUGACGGGGCCCCGCACAAGCAGCGGAGCAUGCGGCUUAAUUCGA
rnacentral:rRNA from 1 species